rnacentral:tRNA from 1 species
GGGCGAUUAGCUCAUUGGGAGAGCACCUGCCUUACAAGCAGGGGGUCACUGGUUCGAACCCGGUAUCGCCCACCA